AAGUCGUAACAAGGUCUCCGUAGGUGAACCUGCGGAGGGAUCAUUACCGAGUGAGGGCCUCUGGCCCGACCUCCAACCCUUUGUCGUUACCAAUCUCAGUUGCCUCGGGGGCGACCCGGCCGUCGCGUCGGGACCCCCGGUGGACCACACCACUCUGCGUUCUUGCGUCGGAGUUUGAAGGGAAAUUGAAUCAAAACUUUUAACAACGGAUCUCUUGGUUCUG
rnacentral:misc_RNA from 1 species